rnacentral:rRNA from 1 species
GCAUAUCAAUAAGCGGAGGAAAAGAAACUAACAAGGAUUCCCCUAGUAGCGGCGAGCGAAGCGGGAAGAGCUCAAAUUUAUAAUCUGGCACCUUCGGUGUCCGAGUUGUAAUCUCUAGAAAUGUUUUCCGCGUUGGACCGCACACAAGUCUGUUGGAAUACAGCGGCAUAGUGGUGAGACCCCCGUAUAUGGUGCGGACGCCCAGCGCUUUGUGAUACAUUUUCGAAGAGUCGAGUUGUUUGGGAAUGCAGCUCAAAUUGGGUGGUAAAUUCCAUCUAAAGCUAAAUAUUGGCGAGAGACCGAUAGCGAACAAGUACCGUGAGGGAAAGAUGAAAAGCACUUUGGAAAGAGAGUUAACAGUACGUGAAAUUGUUGGAAGGGAAACGCUUGAAGUCAGACUUGCUUGCCGAGCAAUCGGUUUGCAGGCCAGCAUCAGUUUUCCGGGAUGGAUAAUGGUAGAGAGAAGGUAGCAGUUUCGGCUGUGUUAUAGCUCUCUGCUGGAUACAUCUUGGGGGACUGAGGAACGCAGUGUGCCUUUGGCGGGGGUUUCGACCUCUUCACACUUAGGAUGCUGGUGGAAUGGCUUUAAACGACCCGUCUUGAAACACGGACCAAGGAGUCUAACAUGCUUGCGAGUAUUUGGGUGUCAAACCCGGAUGCGUAAUGAAAGUGAAUGGAGGUGGGAACCGCAAGGUGCACCAUCGACCGAUCUGGAUUUUUAAUGAUGGAUUUGAGUAAGAGCACGUAUGUUGGGACCCGAAAGAUGGUGAACUAUGCCUGAAUAGGGCGAAGCCAGAGGAAACUCUGGUGGAGGCUCGUAGCGGUUCUGACGUGCAAAUCGAUCGUCAAAUUUGGGUAUAGGGGCGAAAGACUAAUCGAACCAUCUAGUAGCUGGUUCCUGCCGAA